rnacentral:tRNA from 29 species
GGGCCUAUAGCUCAGCUGGGAGAGCGUACGGUUCGCAUCCGUAAGGUCGUCGGUUCGAUCCCGAUUAGGUCCACCA